rnacentral:tRNA from 1 species
AAGGAUUUAAGUUAAGUACAAACUUUUAGCCUUCAAAGCUAAUAAUAGAUUUUUAUCUAAGCCUUA